UAUGUAGGCGGCGCUGUUAGUCGGGUGUGAAAUCCCUCGGCUCAACCGAGGAAUUGCGCCCGAUACUGCAGUGCUUGAGGGAGACAGAGGUAAGCGGAACUGAUGGUGGAGCGGUGAAAUGCGUUGAUAUCAUCAGGAACACCGGUGGCGAAAGCGGCUUACUGGGUCUCCUCUGACGCUGAGAUACGAAAGCUAGGGUAGCGAAGG
rnacentral:rRNA from 1 species